rnacentral:rRNA from 1 species
AGCAGCCGCGGUAAUUCCAGCUCCAAUAGCGUAUAUUAAAGUUGUUGCAGUUAAAAGCUCGUAGUUGAAUUUCGGGAUUGGCGCAUCGGUCGUGCCUCACGGGGUAUGAACUGGUGCAGUCAAUUUCUCACCUUCUGGAGGACCGCGAUGUCCUUAAUUGGAUGCCGCGGGGAACCAGGACCUUUACUUUGAAAAAUUAGAGUGUUUAAAGCAGGCAUUUUUGCUUGAAUACAUUGGCAUGGAAUAAUAAAAUAGGACGGCAUGGUUCUAUUUUGUUGGUUUCUAGGACCACCGUAAUGAUUAAUAGGGAUAGUUGGGGGCAUUAGUAUUCAAUUGUCAGAGGUGAAAUUCUUGGAUUUAUCGAAGACUAACUACUGCGAAAGCAUUUGCCAAGGAUGUUUUCAUUAAUCAAGAACGAAAGUUAGGGAUCGAAGACGAUCAGAUACCG